GUACACAGGACACUGAGGAGCUGGAACUUGAAAUGUAUGAACUGACUUAUUGACACAUAUAUGAAUGAGUGUGUGGGAGACCAGUAAGAUGGAUGAGGAUGGGUUUGCAGACUGUGUGGACCUGCGGGCAUCUUUUACUAGAUGCUGCCUGACCAGUUGACCUCAACCAGCACUUAGUGUUCCACUGAAGAUUCCAACGUCUGCAUUACUGUAUACUUCAUGAAUAAAGUACUUUUUGAGAAAGAAGCAAUUUCCUGGCUGCAAAAUUAACCAGACCUAAGCAGGAUGGAGAGCAGUGACAGCUUUGCUACAAAUAAUCGACCAGAUUUACCAGACUGGUUAGCAUGCAACAAAAGCUUUUAACUGUACUUCUGUACAUGUGACA